UUCACCUUCGACUACUCCUACUGGUCCCACACCUCGGAGGAGGACCCCAACUUCGCCUCCCAGCGCCGGGUGUACCAAGACAUCGGGGAGGAGAUGCUGGCGCACGCCUUCGAGGGCUACAACGUUUGCAUCCUGGCCUACGGCCAGACCGGCGCCGGCAAGUCCUACACCAUGAUGGGGCGGCAGGAGCCCGGGCAGCGCGGCAUCAUCCCGCAGCUCUGCGAGGAUCUGUUCACCCGCGUCGCACGGGAGGGGUCCCCCGAGCUCUCCUUCUCCGUGGAGGUGAG